UACGGAGGGGACUAGCGUUGUUCGGAAUUACUGGGCGUAAAGCGCACGUAGGCGGAUUUGUAAGUCAGGGGUGAAAUCCCGGGGCUCAACCUCGGAACUGCCUUUGAUACUGCAAGUCUUGAGUCCGAUAGAGGUGAGUGGAAUUCCUAGUGUAGAGGUGAAAUUCGUAGAUAUCGGGAGGAACACCUGUGGCGAAGGCGACCCCCUGGUUGGAUACUGACGCUGAGACGCGAAAGCGUGGGGAGCAAACAGG
rnacentral:rRNA from 1 species